rnacentral:rRNA from 1 species
GAACGCUGGCGGCGUGCCUAAUACAUGCAAGUCGAGCGAAUCGAUGGGAGCUUGCUCCCUGAGAUUAGCGGCGGACGGGUGAGUAACACGUGGGCAACCUGCCUAUAAGACUGGGAUAACUUCGGGAAACCGGAGCUAAUACCGGAUACGUUCUUUUCUCGCAUGAGAGAAGAUGGAAAGACGGUUUACGCUGUCACUUAUAGAUGGGCCCGCGGGCGCAUUAGCUAGUUGGUGAGGUAAUGGCUCACCAAGGCGACGAUGCGUAGCCCGACCUGAGAGGGUGAUCGGCCACACUGGGACUGAGACACGGCCCAGACUCCUACGGGAGGGCAGCAGUAGGGAAUCUUCCGCAAUGGACCGAAAGUCUGACGGAGCAACGCCGCGUGAACGAAGAAGGCCUUCGGGUCGUAAAGUUCUGUUGUUAGGGAAGAACAAGUACCAGAGUAACUGCUGGUACCUUGACGGUCCUAC